rnacentral:lncRNA from 1 species
CUCAUCACACACCCCCAAGCAUAGGGACUCAACAACCAGCAGCAACAGCAAUUCCAGCGCCUGUUCCUACACCCCCUGCCAUGCCGCCUGGAGCACAGCCCCAGUCUCUACGCCCCCCAUCUAGACAGACUCCUACACCACCAACACAUCUGCCUCCCCAAGUGCAACCUUCACUUCCUGUUCCUCCUGCUGACCAGUCCCAGCCACAGCCUCGCUCACAGCAGAGCACAGCAGCUUCUGUCCCCACCCCAACAGCACCACUGCUGCCUCCUCAGCCUCCUACUCCACUUUCUCAGCCAGCUGUAAGUGUUGAAGGCCAGGUGUCAAACCCUCCAUCU